rnacentral:rRNA from 1 species
AGUGAACGCUGGCGGUAGGCCUAACACAUGCAAGUCGAACGGCAGCACAGUAAGAGCUUGCUCUUACGGGUGGCGAGUGGCGGACGGGUGAGGAAUACAUCGGAAUCUACUUUUUCGUGGGGGAUAACGUAGGGAAACUUACGCUAAUACCGCAUACGACCUACGGGUGAAAGCAGGGGAUCUUCGGACCUUGCCCGAUUGAUUGAGCCGAUGUCGGAUUAGCUAGUUGGCGGGGUAAAGGCCCACCAAGGCGACGAUCCGUAGCUGGUCUGAGAGGAUGAUCAGCCACACUGGAACUGAGACACGGUCCAGACUCCUACGGGAGGCAGCAGUGGGGAAUAUUGGACAAUGGGCGCAAGCCUGAUCCAGCCAUACCGCGUGGGUGAAGAAGGCCUUCGGGUUGUAAAGCCCUUUUGUUGGGAAAGAAAAGCAGCAGGUUAAUACCCCGCUGUUCUGACGGUACCCAAAGAAUAAGCACCGGCUAACUUCGUG